rnacentral:tRNA from 1 species
AGUGUCAAGGGAUAGGAAUCGUACCCACGACCUUCCGCUUACCGGGCAGAUGCCAUGACCACUAGGCCACAUGACC